rnacentral:rRNA from 1 species
GAUGAACGCUAGCUACAGGCUUAACACAUGCAAGUCGAGGGGUAACGAGAGGAAAGCUUGCUUUCCUUGUCGACGACCGGCGCACGGGUGAGUAACGCGUAUCCAACCUGCCCCCAACUAGGGAAUAACCUUGCGAAAGUAAGACUAAUACCCUAUAAUUUCCUCAGAUGACAUCUGACGAGGAAUAAAGAUUUAUCGGUUGUGGAUGGGGAUGCGUCUGAUUAGCUUGUUGGCGGGGUAACGGCCCACCAAGGCAACGAUCAGUAGGGGUUCUGAGAGGAAAGUCCCCCACAUUGGAACUGAGACACGGUCCAAACGCCUACGGGAGGCAGCAGUGAGGAAUAUUGGUCAAUGGGCGGAAGCCUGAACCAGCCAAGUAGCGUGCAGGAUGACGGCCCUAUGGGUUGUAAACUGCUUUUAUACAGGAAUAAAGUUAGCCACGUGUGGUUAUUUGUAGGUACUGUAUGAAUAAGGACCGGCUAAUUCCGUGCCAGCCGCCGCGGUAA